GUGGGGAAUAUUGGGCAAUGGGCGAAAGCCUGACCCAGCAACGCCGCGUGAAGGAAGAAGGUCUUCGGAUCGUAAACUUCUAUCCUUGGUGAAGAUAAUGACGGUAGCCGAGAAGGAAGCCCCGGCUAACUACGUGCCAGCAGCCGCGGUAAUACGUAGGGGGCAAGCGUUGUCCGGAAUGAUUGGGCGUAAAGGGCGCGUAGGCGGCCUGGUAAGUCUGGAGUGAAAGUCCUGCUUUUAAGGUGGGAAUUGCUUUGGAUACUGUCGGGCUUGAGUGCAGGAGAGGUAAGCGGAAUUCCCGGUGUAGCGGUGAAAGGCGUAGAGAUCGGGAGGAACACCAGUGGCGAAGGCGGCUUACUGGACUGUAACUGACGCUGAGGCGCGAAAGUGUGGGGAGCAAACAGGAUUAGAAACCCUGGUAGUCC
rnacentral:rRNA from 1 species